rnacentral:tRNA from 1 species
GCGCUGCAGGGCUGCCUGGUUACGGCGGCGGUGCUCGGUGCGCUGGGUGCGGUCGAGGUACGACGCAGCGGCGGCGGUCGCACCGGCGCGUGGCGCGCC